rnacentral:ncRNA from 1 species
CGACCCCAUGCGGGAGAGACCGGUAACCUGGAAACAGGCCAACGGCGCCGAAGGAGCAACCGCCCCCGGAAACUCUCAGGCAAAAGGACCGCGAAGGGUAG